rnacentral:rRNA from 1 species
ACUCCUACGGGAGGCAGCAGUGGGGAAUAUUGCACAAUGGGGGAAACCCUGAUGCAGCCAUGCCGCGUGUGUGAAGAAGGCCUUCGGUUGUAAAGCACUUUCAGUAGGGAGGAAGGUAGUGUAGUUAACACCUGCAUUAUUUGACGUUACCUACAGAAGAAGCACCGGCUAACUCCGUGCCAGCAGCCGCGGUAAUACGGAGGGGUGCGAGCGUUAAUCGGAAUUACUGGGCGUAAAGCGCAUGCAGGCGGCCUGUUAAGUCAGAUGUGAAAGCCCGGGGGCUUAACCUCGGAAUUGCAUUUGAAACUGGCAGGCUAGAGUCUUGUAGAGGGGGUAGAAUUUCAGGUGUAGCGGUGAAAUGCGUAGAGAUCUGAAGGAAUACCAGUGGCGAAGGCGGCCCCCUGGACAAAGACUGACGCUCAGAUGCGAAAGCGUGGGGAGCAAACAGGAUUAGAUACCCUGGUAGACUGUCA